UGCUCUUUUACAUUUUUUUCUUCUUUAAAUAUUCUUCUUCACUUCGACAAUAUCAAGAUCAUUUAUAUUCCUCUACCAAGAUCGUUGUAGUGAGUUUAAGAGUUUUAAAUUUCGUUUUUGUUUGAAUUGUUUAGAAGAUUAUAAAAUUUUGUUAAGAAUUCUAUAUUUCAUUAUGAAGAUCGUUUUUUUUUUUUUGUUUAUGGUAAGAACUCUAAAUUUUAUUUUUGCUUUAAUUGUUUAGAAGAUAUAAUUAAUGUAAGAAUUAUGUAGUUCAUUAUGUAAAUCGUUAGUUUGAAGUUUUUCAUGAUUAGCUACAUGAUCGUUUGCCAAUAUCAACAUGAUCGUUUACCAAUAUCAACACAAUCAUUUACCUAUAUCAAUACGAUCAUUUACUACAUUCAAUAUAAUAAUUUAUCGUGGUCAAACGAUCGUUUACCAUAAUCAACAUGAUCGUUUAAUGCAUAUUAUUUCACUGCACAAUCGUCUAUCCUUGCAUUGUGUUUAUUAUUAUCAUUUUUUACAUUUUAUUCUUUUAUUAUAUGAUAGAUGUAUAUCUAUGUCUAUCUAUUGCUUUCUACCACUGUUGGAUACUUAAUUGUAUUUUCUUUUUACAAAAUACAAUGUCUAUUCCUAAGUUGUUUUUUAUGGAGGUCAAUGGAAUAAAUGGAGUGCCUAUGAAAAUUACUCAGUUGCUUGAAUUUUGGUAGAUAUCUGAAUCAAUUUAAUUGUUUGGUUGGUUUAAUAUACGAAGAGAUUUAAUUGGAUAAGUUGGUAGAAUUAUCUGUUUUACUGAAUUUUGGUAAAAGCAACGUACAAACUGUGGUGCCAAUAAUAAUAAAAAAAGACAAUGGCCAAGCGAAGAAGAGUUGAUUCUUAGAGGAAGAAGAGUUGGAUUAUCAAGACUAUUUUUCAGAAGAUGAACAUGGAAAGAAAAGGAAUGGUCCACCAAGUAAUUUUGAUUGGAAAAAUGUUGAAGUGUUUGUCAUGUUUUUGAAAGUGUUCUAUAAUGUCACUAAUAAGAUUAGUGGUUCUUUAUAUGUGACUGCCAAUUCCUUUUCUCAUGAGAUGUGGGGGAGUAAUGAUCUUUUAAUUGGUUGGAGCAACGAACAUAAUUCUAUUUUAUGUAAUAUGGCUAUAAAUAUGAAGUCAAAGUAUGACAAAUAUUGGGGUUCAAUUGUGAAGAUUAACAAGCUUGUAUUUCUAGUUGUGGUGCUUGACCCUCGAUAUAAACUGGACUAUGUUGGUUUUUGCUUUGAAAGUAUACAUGAUGAUGUUAUGGUUAAAGUUCUUGUUGAUGAGAUUGAAGCUUAUUUGAUGCGAUUAUACAAUUGUUACAAAUCACAAGUUGAUGGCUCUGCCUUUCGUAAUGAUUUGAGUGGUCAAGAUAUUGUUUGUGAAAAAGUAGAAUCAAGUGAUAGUUUGAGACUAUUGAGUUCGGGAACUAUGGUUGAAACUGACGCGGGUUGUAGAGUAUUAUCACGCUACAAGAGAAGAGGACAAGAACAAAAUACUUUAGAAUUGAGGAAUGAUGUUGAUCGGUAUUUAUCUGAUCCUUGUGAGGAGCUAAACGAUCAUUUUGAUGUUCUAACUUGGUGGAAAUUGAAUGAGGUUAAAUAUCGAAUUCUAUCAAAAAUUGCUCAAGAUGUUUUUGUCGUUCCGGUGUCUACUGUGGCUUCUGAAUCUGCAUUCAGUCCUGGAGGAAGGAUUCUGGAUUCUUUUAGGAGUUCCUUAUCACCUAAACAGUGGAAGCUUUGAUUUGUACACAAAAUUGAGUCCGUGGCAAAACAACCUUAUUGGAUCUUUGUCCAAAGCUUGAAGAAAUGGAAAUUUGUGAAAAAAUUGAGAACGAUAGUAUCAAGUCUUCCGUCACGUCACAAACAUGAUCUAUGAGUUGACAAUUUUCAUGGACAAAUUUAAAUGAUUGGGAUGCUUGAAUGGACUUCAAAUUUAUAUUUAACUAUAUAUUGAACUUUAUUAUUCCUUUAUUAUUAAAAAUGAACUUCAUGAACAUUUAUGGAUAAUGUUUGGAUUUAUGUAUUUUAAGAACUUUGAAUUUAUUUGUGUAUUUUAAGAACUUUGAAUUUAUUUA